UCGAUCCAUACAUUAUCAAUAAAAGAAAAAGCACACUUUGACAUGAAAUCAACCGCCAUAUUACAUUGGCGAUUCACAUGAGCAAAAGAGCAAGUUCCCAAACCAGACAUGAGCAUCCUGCAAUCGUCCAAAAUACUAUGGAGGUAUGAAAGGGAUUGACCAUAUGUUUUCAGAUUCAUUUGUAAAGCUUUAAGUGAAAAAUAAUGAAGAGGGGUUAUGCAACUUUUGUCUGAUUGGUUAUGUGUGCGUAUAUUAGUAUAUAAAUAAAUCUCAGUCGAUCUUAUUACAUUAAAGAAUAUGCCAUUUCUCGAAUGUGCAUAAUUCACAUCAUCUUAGUAGUGAUUACUGAAAUUCAGAUUGGUAGCAAGAUUUGAUAUUGUAUAUGCUCUUAUCAUUCUCUUUUCAGAUGUAUUAUGUACACUAGUGUAAGAUGAGCCUAUGGUUGGCUCUAGUUUGUUAAGCAGGAAGAGGGAUAAAUAACAAGUUCAACUCUUGUAUUCUCCUCAUUAGAACGAGUGAUAAGGAAACUUUCUCAGUUUUUGAUUGUGUCAAGAUUGUGAUAAGGGGUAGAGUAUUGUUUAGAGCCAAAUUUAUAAAUGUCUCUUUAGAAGCCCAGGUUCAAUGGCCAAAUUCACAUUCAAGAUUGCCAAAAACCCAAUCUUUUCUGGGGUGUUUCAGUGAUCAUUGCAGACUUUCAAGUAUGAUUCUAAAGAAUGAAAAAGAGCUUUUGACGAUAUCCCACCAAAGCAAAGAUGAAGAGCCACAAGGCGAAAGCAAUCCACGCAAAGGGGGGUGAAAUCAUUGUCAAAGCUAGAACUGAAACUGCACAUCCCUGUGAAAGAUUAAUGACCAGGAGGAUUGGAAGCACGUUCAUGGGGUACUGAAGCUGUUGCAGCAUUGUUCCGAUAAUCAAUGUCGAGAAGUAGAGAACAACAUAUUGGUUUAGCCUCCGGCCCCUUCCUUAUCCUU